GAUCUUUCCAGCCGUGGCAUAUUUGGUGACAAUAUCUAGAGAAUAUAACGAUACAGAGAAACUUUAACGCUUUCACAGCAAUGUUACUUUACUGUUACUAUUCGUGCAAAGACCAGCAGACACGCAACACAGUGUAAGGUUGACUCGUGAACAACCUUACUGGCUGACCAGAAUGCUGACCACGCUUAUAUUGUUGGAACCGUUCGUAACAAAAAAACAAAACAAACAAACCUGUCGCCUGUAUCGCUAUGUCUACUACAACCUGACAUAGAUUUGCGUGCCACAUCUUAUAUUUAGAUUUUUUUACGACAUGGAAAAGGCAAAGUGUUUGCUGAUGGUUGUGAUAAUAUUGGCCCCAUCUCAGUAAUGGAAAAGAUUUGUUGGAGGUGGGAGUCGUGUCAUACUAAAAGUUAAUAACCAUUUUACAUUACCGUGAACAUUUUAUUAGUUAUGAUGUUUCAUUUUUAAAAAUUUUUAUAUUAUUAUUAAAAUUUCAUCAACACAGCCACAGAAUAGGUGACAUGAAAAAGUGUUGAGUUAAUUACUUUUCCAAACAUUGCUGAAGGAAUUAUGGCUGUAUGACUGACCAAUGAACACAACCUCAUAAAAUAUUGAUAGGUUAACCUCUGAGUGAUGGUAACAAUAACACUAAGAAGGAGACGAGACCAAUUUGAGUCUUAUUUGCAUAAUCUUUUAUUGUUUAUAUCUUCGAGGUGUCUUAUUGACUUCCGUUCAUUAAAUUUGUGGAAAAGUAUAUUAAAUGGGGUGAUGCAAUCCUGUCAUUGUCGGAGAUCCUUUUCAUCAUGGAAAUAUUGCUAAUUUAGGUUGUGCAAAAUGUAAUGAACCAAUUAAUUGUUUUAAAUUGUCAGUAUGUUAGAAUUUUUAAUUUCUUUGGAUCGA